AGAACUUUGAAGAGAGAGUUCAAGAGUACGUGAAACCGUUCAGGGGUAAACCUGAGAAACCCAAAAGUUCGAAUGGAGAGAUUCAUCGUCAGCGAUCCCGGCGAUGCGCGGUUCGCGAUGCCGCGGGACUUCGGUCCCGCGGCACGCGUCCGUGUCGUUUCUUGCCGGGCGUCGUCGUCGUGCACUUCUCCCCUAGUAGGACGUCGCGACCCGUUGGGUGUCGGUCUACGACUCGGGUGGGUGCCCGUCAUGUGUUACGCUUCGCGGCGUCAUGUGGCAGACCCCCGGUUGUCCGACCAGCUGCCCGGCGGUACUCGCACGGUAUUGAGUCGCAAAUUUGAACUGCGUCCGGCCCGCCGCAAGCGAGGCCAGUGUUUCCCGGAUGUACGGACUCAGCGCCGUCACCGGGCCUGGCCAGCUGUUGGCCGGCGGUGUCCUGGGACUGACUCUAAACAAAAAUACCGGUCGGCGACGCUACUGCUUUGGGUACUUUCAGGACCCGUCUUG
rnacentral:rRNA from 1 species